rnacentral:rRNA from 1 species
AGAGUUUGAUCCUGGCUCAGGAUGAACGCUAGCUACAGGCUUAACACAUGCAAGUCGAGGGGCAGCAUGGUCUAGCAAUAGACUGCUGGCGACCGGCGCACGGGUGAGUAACACGUAUCCAACCUGCCGAUUAUUCCGGGAUAGCCUUUCGAAAGAAAGAUUAAUACUGGAUAGUAUAACGAGAAGGCAUCUUCUUGUUAUUAAAGAAUUUCGAUAAUUGAUGGGGAUGCGUUCCAUUAGUUUGUUGGCGGGGUAACGGCCCACCAAGACAUCGAUGGAUAGGGGUUCUGAGAGGAAGGUCCCCCACAUUGGAACUGAGACACGGUCCAAACUCCUACGGGAGGCAGCAGUGAGGAAUAUUGGUCAAUGGGCGAGAGCCUGAACCAGCCAAGUAGCGUGAAGGAUGACUGCCCUAUGGGUUGUAAACUUCUUUUAUAUGGGAAUAAAGUUUUCCACGUGUGGAAUUUUGUAUGUACCAUAUGAAUAAGGAUCGGCUAACUCCGUGCCAGCAGCCGCGGUAAUACGGAGGAUCCGAGCGUUAUCCGGAUUUAUUGGGUUUAAAGGGAGCGUAGGCGGAAGCUUAAGUCAGUUGUGAAAGUUUGCGGCUCAACCGUAAAAUUGCAGUUGAUACUGGGUUUCUUGAGUGCAGUAGAGGUAGGCGGAAUUCGUGGUGUAGCGGUGAAAUGCUUAGAUAUCACGAAGAACUCCGAUUGCGAAGGCAGCUUACUGGACUGUAACUGACGCUGAUGCUCGAAAGUGUGGGUAUCAAACAGGAUUAGAUACCCUGGUAGUCCACACAGUAAACGAUGAAUACUCGCUGUUUGCGAUAUACAGUAAGCGGCCAAGCGAAAGCAUUAAGUAUUCCACCUGGGGAGUACGCCGGCAACGGUGAAACUCAAAGGAAU